UACGAACGGUGCGAACGUUGUUCGGAAUCACUGGGCUUAAAGGGCGCGUAGGCGGGCUGUCAAGUUUGGGGUGAAAUCCCGCGGCUCAACCGUGGAACUGCCUCAAAUACUGACGGCCUCGAGGAAGGUAGGGGCAUGCGGAACUGUAGGUGGAGCGGUGAAAUGCGUUGAUAUCUACAGGAACUCCGGUGGCGAAAGCGGCGUGCUGGACCUUUUCUGACGCUGAGGCGCGAAAGCUAGGGGAGCAAACGGG
rnacentral:rRNA from 1 species